CCUUUCACCUACUCUCUCUAUAAGUGAUCAGUAUUGAUCCAGUUCUCCUCGGAUACGUUAGUACUUCUGAAUACCUUCAAGACAUAUCUACGCUCUUCCUCGAUGUUCGCUUAACUGCGCCGUGCUAUCUGCAAAGAAGCUGAUGAAAGCUGCCAUCAAAAACAGGUGGAGCGGACCUUUCGAGGAGGAAUGGAGGAAUUGAUGAACGCGAUGACAGAGCAGUGCGGGGAACCUCCUCAAUAUCUGUGCCUCUUCUUCUCGCCGGUUCGUGUCACAUACAGAUGAUAUUUACGUUCUUCCACCGAACUGGAUGCUGUGAAGGCAGAAAAUAGAUUAGUCACUGCCACGAGUAGCAGCGUCUUCACUCCAAAUCCACACAGAUGCCACACCAUCAGUACAGAAGUGGACUCCCAGAUUGU